AGUGAACGCUGGCGGUAGGCCUAACACAUGCAAGUCGAACGGCAGCACAGUAAGAGCUUGCUCUUACGGGUGGCGAGUGGCGGACGGGUGAGGAGUACAUCGGAAUCUACUUUUUCGUGGGGGAUAACGUAGGGAAACUUACGCUAAUACCGCAUACGACCUACGGGUGAAAGCAGGGGAUCUUCGGACCUUGCGCGAUUGAAUGAGCCGAUGUCGGAUUAGCUAGUUGGCGGGGUAAAGGCCCACCAAGGCGACGAUCCGUAGCUGGUCUGAGAGGAUGAAUCGGCCCACUGGAACCUAGGCACGGGCCCGACUCCUAAGGGGAGGAGCAGGUGGGAAUAUUGGACAAAGGGGGGAAGCCUUAUCCAGCCAUACCGCGUGGGUGAAGGAGGCCUUCCGGUUGGUAAACCCCUUUUUUGGGAAAGAAAAGCAACCGGGUAAUACCCCGCUGUUCUGACGGUAACCAAAGAAUAAGCACCGGCUAACUUCGUG
rnacentral:rRNA from 1 species